CAUUGACGAGGCACUCGUUACUAUGAUUUGCAUGAAACUUAUGCCAAGAAUUUACUUAACGUGAUUGUGACUAGCAACCUUCACUACUUGUGAAUAUAAGUUCAUAACGAUUAGGUGAAAUUCACUUAUAUUCUAGCAUCAAAUUCAUGCAUGUAAAUUAAGUAUGCAUCCCUAAUCGACAUACAAAAAUAAGUUAUCAAUCAAGCAGUUAAGCAAAUUAAAUCACAACUCAGAAAUCACAACUGAAGGUAAUCAAUUCAUAUUACAAAUAUAUUCAUGGCUUCGAAUCCCCCCCUAGCCAAGGGGGGUUUAGUUUCUCAUUAUUACAAAACAAAGAUAAACAAAUUUAAACAUUGAAAAACAAAGGAAAGAAAGCACCUAAACGUUCCAACGAUCCAUGUUGGAUAGCAAGUGCGUCUAAGGACUUUUCUCCUUCUCUUUGCCGCAACAACAAGGUUGGAAUGAUGUUGAAGGGUUGGUUAUUUUGAGGAAUGGAUGGGAAGGGGUUUAGAUAUGUAGGAGAGGCAAGGAAAGGCUUGGAAAAUGGUUAAUUUCUGGAUGAUUUGAAUGAGGUUGAUGCCAUGGUAUUUAUAGGAAGAGGAUGGACUUGUUUAACACAAAAUGUUGGUGGAAUUGAGUAGGUGAGCAUGGCAAAGAGUGGGAAUUGUUGGUGGGUUAGGUAUUGAGUCAUCCACUCACAUGUCAUGGUUAGCUAAGCAUUGCAUCAUCCACUCACAUGUCAUGGUGAGCUAAGCAUUGCAUCAUCCACUCACAUGUCAUGGUGAGUUAAGCAUUGCAUCAUUACUCAAACUUCUGGUGGAGGUGGAAGUAAAAGCCACGGCAUUGAUGUGUUUUGAGUGAAGUUUUGGCCAAUCCUUCUAGAAAUUUAUCCCUUCUUGCAACUUGUAUUUGUUUCACCAGAUUUUAGCAUGUUCUUAGCCUCUUUUGUCUUCAAAUUCGUCCAUCCAUCUUGCUCAUAUCAUAUGUAAUCCAUUCCAAGCUCAAAAACUUGACACACAAAUUAAACCCUCUUUUUGACAAUUGUAGUAUAGAUGUAAGUAGGGAUCGUUCUAAACCGGGGAUUAGGAGGGCUUGCUAAAACCUCUAAACUGACUCAAAAACAAAAAGAAACAAAGUUAAAAAUGUAAACAAAAGAUUUUAAAACAAGAAAGUAAAAGGGGGAUUUGAGUUUGGUGAAGUUGAAAGUAAAAACGAAUAAACUAAAAACUUAAAUAGAUUUUAAACAAAUUUGGGUUGAAUGGAUAAUGGAAGGCUAGCUAAGGGGUUCUUCUCCACACAUGUCUUGCUUGCAUACAAAAUGAUUUCCAAUUGCAUUUCAAUAACUUAUUAAUUCUCAACGCCCCAAAUUAACCGUGAAUUGCACUAAUUAACCCUCAGUUUUUCCACAAGUUAUUGGGUUGGAUGAUUGCAUACGACAACCCAAAACAUUCCCUACAAGUUCCCUACAUGAAUUGCAUAAUAGAGAUACAAGCAAGAAUCAUUAAGUUCUAUGAAAAACAUAAGCAUUGACGAGGCACUUGUUACUAUGAUUUGCAUGAAACUUAUGCCAAGGAUUUACUUAACACAAUCGUGACUAGCGACUUUUACUACUCAUGAAUAUAAGUUCAUAACGAUUAGGUGAAAUUCCCUUAUACUCUAGCAUCAUAUUUAUGCAUGCAAACUAAGUAUGCAUCCCUAAUCAACAUACAUAAACAUGUUAUCAAUCAAAUAGAUAAGUAAAUCGAAUUCAUAACUUAUGAAACGCAAUUAAAAGUAAUCAAAUCAUAUUGCAAGCAUUAACAUGGUUUCGAAUCCCCCCUAGCCAAGGGGGGGGUUUAGUUCCUCAUUAUUACAAAACAAAGAUAAAAACAAAUUUAAACAUUGAAAAACAAAGGAAAGAAAGCACCUAAACGUUCCAACGAUCCAUGUUGGAUAGCAAGUGCGUCUAAGGACUUUUCUCCUUCUCUUUGCCGCAACAACAAGGUUGGAAUGAUGUUGAAGGGUUGGUUAUUUGGAGGAAUGGAUGGGAAGGGGUUUAGAUGUGUAGGAGAGGCAAGGAAAGGCUUGGAGAAUGGUU
rnacentral:lncRNA from 1 species